UUCUCUUCUUUUCUCCAUUUUCCAGUUUCCCAUGUCCUACUUAGCCCUUUAGAAAUGCAAUUAUAAUUGUUUACCUCUCCUUCACGAGACACUCCCUACAGGGCAAGGCUGUCUAACAUGUGUUUCAAAGCUCCAGUGAAACUCUCCCUCACCAGGAGACUGCUCAGGAGACAACAGUCAAUUUACAACCCAAAUUAUGCCCGCUACAAAACUC
rnacentral:lncRNA from 10 species